CCACGAAGAAGAAUACGACCGGAAGUAGUUGGAGAGUGACGGUGGAGGUGGACUGUGUUUUGUAAUGACUUAUCGUGUCAACGAACUUAUUUAGGUGCGACUUUAACAGCGUUUCCUGUUUAAUAGAAACACCCCAAUAGUGUUUUCUUCGACAUUGGCGGAACAUUGACGACGUGUGUACAUCUGCAACGGAAACUCGGCCACAUCUGGGUUGUGAGCUCACCUCUCACCUGCUGGGAUAGACUCCAACGUCGCCUCUCCUUUCCAACGCCCAGCAAGACGCAUCGAUUAUAACCACACGUUGCUCUCUGACCCAAACCACGAAGAAGAAGACGACAGGAAGUGGUGGGAGCGUUGUGGCGCAGCAUUUUUACGUGAACAAACUU